rnacentral:rRNA from 1 species
UACGAAGGGGGCUAGCGUUGCUCGGAAUUACUGGGCGUAAAGCGCACGUAGGCGGCUUCUUAAGUCGGAGGUGAAAUCCUGGAGCUCAACUCCAGAACUGCCUUCGAUACUGGGAAGCUUGAGUUCGGGAGAGGUGAGUGGAACUGCGAGUGUAGAGGUGAAAUUCGUAGAUAUGACAUAGAACACCAAUUGCGAAGGCAGCUUGCUAAACUAUUAUUGACACUGAGGCACGAAAGCGUGGGGAUCAAACAGG